rnacentral:rRNA from 1 species
UACGUAGGUGGCAAGCGUUGUCCGGAAUUAUUGGGCGUAAAGCGCGCGCAGGCGGUCCUUUAAGUCUGAUGUGAAAGCCCACGGCUCAACCGUGGAGGGUCAUUGGAAACUGGGGGACUUGAGUGCAGAAGAGGAAAGCGGAAUUCCACGUGUAGCGGUGAAAUGCGUAGAGAUGUGGAGGAACACCAGUGGCGAAGGCGGCUUUCUGGUCUGUAACUGACGCUGAGGCGCGAAAGCUAGGGGAGCAACAGG